UACGAGAGCCCCAAGCGUUAUCCGGAAUUAUUGGGCGUAAAGGGUGCGUAGGCGGUUGUGUUAGUCAUGUGUUAAAGGCCCGAGCUUAACUUGGGAAAUGCACGCGAAACGGCACGACUUAGAGUGAAGGAGAGGUGUGCGGAACUCAUGGUGUAGGGGUGAAAUCCGUUGAUAUCAUGGGGAACACCAAAUGCGAAAGCAGCACACUGGCCUUUUACUGACGCUGAGGCACGAAAGCGUGGGUAGCGAAUGGG
rnacentral:rRNA from 1 species